UUGUAAUAGAUUCGACAUCAAAGAUUCUGGCCCUUAUGUCAAUAUUAACGGCAAAACUGAACGUGCGCAAGCGGACAAUUCGAUUUCGUCAUUUAAAGAACUCGGCCAUUUGGACUCCGAUGGCGAAGCCAAUCCAUAAGCAUUUAGUCACUCAGAAACGACAAUUACAGUCUUCCCCAAUAUCAAGAUGAUAUGCGUUCACCGUUCACUAAGGCAAA